UUCUAAAAAAUAAAUAUUUACUUGUGAGGGUAAAACUAAGAAUGGUAUAAAAUUCGUGAACUUAAGCUGAGAGAGAGACAUGAAGUUACAUUGCACAAAAUAAAAUAACAAAUUAAUUAGCAAAAGGAAAGAAGAUGUAUAAAUACACUAAGAGGAAAUUUAAGGAAAAAGUCAACCCUUCGAAGAUGCAUCAGACUUCACCGGGUACUUUUCAAGAAGCGGUUUCAGUUCGUCCAUUGCAGAAAUCCUAUGACGAGUGCCAUCUGAAGUCCUGACAACUAUUACACCAUCCUGCGACCAACAUGACCGCAUUCCGAAGUGCUGCCUGGCCUUGGUGAAGACGGACUGCCUAGUCUUGGUCAGGAACUCCCUAACUGAGAUUUUCGUCCCCUUCAAACCAGUCUUCGCUUUCCAAAUUGCAGACUUGACAUCCAGACCAGAGAACCUCACAAGAAUUGGCCUUGGGUGAUCUUUACUGAGACUGCCAAGCCGAUGUGCCACUUUUAUAUUAGAGACUGCAAUGUCUUUGAGAGCCAAUUUGCCAUUGACUAUGCUCAUUAUAGUGGCAGUGCAGUCCUCAGUGUCAGCUUCAGGAACUCCUUGGAAGAUAAGAGCCUUCUUCCGGUGCUUCAUCUCCAGGCCAUCAAUAUGCAGAAGACACUCGGCGAUUUGUUUCCUGAGCAAUCCAAGGACACUGUAGAUGAGCUCUCUAAAAGCCCGGAACUCCUCUGCAAUCUUAGCCACAGUAUCUUUGGCGGGUCCUGCAGCCUGAAUUUGUGCACCAAGUUCAUCCAUCUUCCGGGUGAAGUUCUCCUCAAGACUCUUUUGGAUUGAUAGGAUCUCGGACAGCUGUGACAUUCUUGUGUAAUUUAACAAUGUGCCUUGUGUUAAAUUAAUUCAGUGUUGUUUGGUGAUGUGGCGGGUGGUGUAUAAAUGUGUAUUCAAUUAUUACAUUUACUACUGUAAGUACUAGCAAAUACAGAUGCAAUAAUAUUUCAAAAAACAAUUGUAAAUACUAUUAAAUAUUAAUUUUAAAGGCUCAGAGAAUCUGAGAAA
rnacentral:lncRNA from 1 species